UUCGCAAUGCCCGAAAGGGUGACGAAGCGACGCCGCGUGUGGGAAGAAGGCCUUCGGGUUGUAAACCACUGUCGGGAGUUAGGAAAUGUAAGGGUGUUAAUAGCAUUCUUACUUGACGUUAGCUCCGGAGGAAGCCACGGCUAACUCUGUGCCAGCAGCCGCGGUAAUACAGAGGUGGCAAGCAUUGUUCGGAAUUAUUGGGCGUAAAGAGCACGUAGGCGGCCCUGCAAGUCAGCUGUGAAAUCCUUCUGCUCAACGGAAGAACGGCAGUUGAUACUACAGGGCUCGAGUGCGGGAGAGGAGAGUGGAACUUCUGGUGGGGCGGUGAAAUGCGUAGAUAUCAGAAGGAACAUCGGCGGCGAAAGCGACUCUCUGGCCCGUAACUGACGCUGAGGUGCGAAAGCUAGGGGAGCAAACGGGAUUAGAUACCCCGGUAGUCCUAGCCGUAAACG
rnacentral:rRNA from 1 species